AUAGCUAAUCGGUACCACCCCUUCCCAUCCCGAACAGGACCGUGAAACGAUUACGCGCCAAUGAUAGUGCUGCAACCAGUGUGAAAGUAGGUUAUCGUCAGGC
rnacentral:rRNA from 1 species